rnacentral:lncRNA from 1 species
CCGAUCACCCCGCCCCGCUGCCUCUGUCGGGCCUGGGCGGCGGGGACGAGAGUAACAAUUCCAAGAUGCAGAGGGGUACAAGAAUCUCAUUCAGCUCUGUGAAUUCCUCUCUUUCAUCUCUGAAAAACUGCCAGUCUUACAUAAAUACUGGAAUGGAUAUUGCUACUCACGUUGCCCUUGACCUGGUGGAAAAUUUCAAUAAAACAAGACAAACCAGAAAAGAUACCAGAUCUAAAAUCACUAGUAAAAGAAAAAUUUACUGCAUUGGAGAGCAUGAACAGUGACUCGGAUUUGGAAAAAAAUGAGAAAUAUAUGUAUUUUAAGGAUCAACUUAAAGACAUGAAAAAACAAUUUCGUCUUCAAUCAGAUAGUAAUGAUAAUGACGACAUCGAACAAAUCGAUGAAGAUAUAGCUGUGACUCAGAGUCAGAUGAACUUCAUUUGUCCCAUUACACAGGUGGAAAUGAAGAAGCCAGUUCGAAACAAAGUCUGUGGACAUUCCUAUGAAGAAGAUGCCAUUCUAAAAAUCAUCCAGACUCGAAAGCAGCAGAAGAAGAAAGUCCGCUGCCCUAAAAUUGGCUGUAGCCAUGAUGAUGUAAAAGGAUCAGAUCUCGUGCCAGAUGAAGCACUUAAAAGAGCGAUUGACAGUCAGAAUAAACAAAGCUGGUCAACGCUGUAGAAGUCGGCUGGAUGUGCCGUUGCCACAAAGAAAAUUUGUUAUUAGAGGUCUUGUGAGAUAAGCUGCCGAUUGUGAGCAGGUUGUGUAACGGAUUGUUAUUUAAAGUGUUUCAUUUAUAGGCAGAGUUGAAGGUCUCCGCUGUAACUGAAAACAUUUUUUCAUCUGUCAAAUAUGAGGAAUUCCAGGUUAGUUAGUUUUUUUUCCCCUUGUUAGUUUUUUUCCCCUUCUUGAAAUUCUAAAUGUUGCGUUUGUUAAAUAAAAUGUGGCUUUCAGCCUUCAA